rnacentral:rRNA from 1 species
GACGAACGCUGGCGGCGUGCUUAACACAUGCAAGUCGAACGGAAAGGCCCUGCUUUUGUGGGGUGCUCGAGUGGCGAACGGGUGAGUAACACGUGAGUAACCUGCCCUUGACUUUGGGAUAACCUCAGGAAACUGGGGUUAAUACCGGAUAGGAGCUCCUGCUGCAUGGUGGGGGUUGGAAAUUUUCGGCGGUUUGGGAUGGACUCGCGGCUUAUCAGCUUGUUGGUGGGGUAGUGGCUUACCAAGGCUUUGACGGGUAGCCGGCCUGAGAGGGUGACCGGCCACAUUGGGACUGAGAUACGGCCCAGACUCCUACGGGAGGCAGCAGUGGGGAAUAUUGCACAAUGGGCGGAAGCCUGAUGCAGCAACGCCGCGUGCGGGAUGACGGCCUUCGGGUUGUAAACCGCUUUCGCCUGUGACGAAGCGUGAGUGACGGUAAUGGGUAAAGAAGCACCGGCUAACUACGUG